rfam:Schistosoma mattheei strain Denwood, Zambia genome assembly, scaffold: SMTD_scaffold0018887
AUCCAACUGACGAGUUUCAAACAGGACGACACGCACUUCCUGGAU